rnacentral:rRNA from 1 species
UACGGGGGGGGCAAGCGUUGUUCGGAAUUACUGGGCGUAAAGGGCUCGUAGGCGGCCAACUAAGUCGGACGUGAAAUCCCCAGGCUCAACCUGGGAACUGCGUCUGAUACUGGAUGGCUUGAAUCCGGGAGAGGGAUGCAGAAUUCCAGGUGUAGCGGUGAAAUGCGUAGAUAUCUGGAGGAAUACCGGUGGCGAAGGCGGCAUCCUGGACCGGCAUUGACGCUGAGGAGCGAAAGCCAGGGGGGCAAACGGG